rnacentral:lncRNA from 14 species
ACAUUUGUUUAGUCCUAUCAUAAUGUCAUAUCAUAAUGGCUCGUAUCUGUAAAAGCAUACACCUGACACUGUCUGAUUUCACUCCUAUAGAGUGACCUCAAGAAGUCCAGGGAUAGGUGGAUUGGCAGGACAGACAUGAGCAAACUUCUUAACUCGAAGCUAGGGGCAACUGGGGGAAGCCAUGGAGCUGCUGAUAGCUGCCACUUACUGGAAACGAGUGAAUGACAAAUCCAUGAGACAAGCUGAGAACUUAAGAUCCAGUUUCAGACCUGCCUACAGACUUUCAUACAUUGCAUUUCUGAAAAAGGCAAAUUCAGCAACCAGAGGCUUGAUAUUGGGGCUGCAUUGGAGUGUGUGG